rnacentral:rRNA from 1 species
GGCACCUGCAUCCAGCUAUGCCGCGUGAGUGAAGAAGGCCUUCGGGUUGUAAAGCUCUUUUGUCAGAGCAAGAAACACCGGCUCUAACACAGUCCGGNGAAUGACGGUACCUGAAGAAUAAGCACCGGCUAACUACGUGCCAGCAGCCGCGGUAAUACGUAGGGUGCGAGCGUUAAUCGGAAUUACUGGGCGUAAAGCGUGCGCAGGCGGUUAUACAAGACAGGCGUGAAAUCCCCGGGCUUAACCUGGGAAUGGCGCCUGUGACUGUAUAGCUAGAGUGUGUCAGAGGGGGGUAGAAUUCCACGUGUAGCAGUGAAAUGCGUAGAUAUGUGGAGGAAUACCAAUGGCGAAGGCAGACCCCUGGGAUAACACUGACGCUCAUGCACGAAAGCGUGGGGAGCAAACAGGAUUAGAUACCCUGGUAGUCCACGCCCUAAACGAUGCUGACUAGUUGUUCGGGAUUUACAUCCUGAGUAACGUAGCUAACGCGUGAAGUCAGCCGCCUGGGGAGUACGGUCGCAAGAUUAAAACUCAAAGGAAUUGACGGGGACCCGCACAAGCGGUGGAUGAUGUGGAUUAAUUCGAUGCAACGCAAAAAGCUUAACUACCCUUGACAUGUCUCUAACGAAGUAGAGAUACAUUACGUGCUCGUCAGAGAAAGUGGACACCGGUGCUGCAUUGGUGUCGUCAGGUCGUGGUGUGAGGAUGUCGGUUAGUUCCGGCACGGAC